UGGGGAAUAUUGGGCAAUGGGCGCAAGCCUGACCCAGCAACGCCGCGUGAGGGAAGAAGGUUUUCGGAUUGUAAACCUCUGUCCUCAAUGAAAAGAGUAAGAUGGUAAUUGAGGAGGAAGCCCCGGCUAACUACGCGCCAGCAGCCGCGGUAAUACGUAGGGGGCGAGCGUUGUCCGGAAUGAUUGGGCGUAAAGGGCGCGUAGGCGGCCUGUUAAGUCUGGAGUGAAAGUCCUGCUUUCAAGGUGGGAAUUGCUUUGGAUACUGAUAGGCUUGAGUGCAGGAGAGGUUAUCGGAAUUCCCGGUGUAGCGGUGAAAUGCGUAGAGAUCGGGAGGAACACCAGUGGCGAAGGCGGGUAACUGGACUGCAACUGACGCUGAGGCGCGAAAGUGUGGGGAGCAAACAGGAUUAGAUACCC
rnacentral:rRNA from 1 species